ensembl:rRNA 5S_rRNA 5S ribosomal RNA
ACUUACGGCCACACUACCCUGAGCAUGCCUGAUCUCGUCUCAGAAGCCUACGCAUUGUUGGGCCUGGUUAGUAGUCAGAUGGGAGACCGCCUGAAUACCAGGUGCUGUAAGCU